rnacentral:rRNA from 1 species
CUCUGGGAUAAGCGCUGGAAACGGCGUCUAAYACUGGAUAUGUGACGUGACCGCAUGGUCUGCGUCUGGAAAGAUUUUUCGGUUGGGGAUGGGCUCGCGGCCUAUCAGCUUGUUGGUGAGGUAAUGGCUCACCAAGGCGUCGACGGGUAGCCGGCCUGAGAGGGUGACCGGCCACACUGGGACUGAGACACGGCCCAGACUCCUACGGGAGGCAGCAGUGGGGAAUAUUGCACAAUGGGCGCAAGCCUGAUGCAGCAACGCCGCGUGAGGGAUGACGGCCUUCGGGUUGUAAACCUCUUUUAGCAGGGAAGAAGCGAAAGUGACGGUACCUGCAGAAAAAGCGCCGGCUAACUACGUGCCAGCAGCCGCGGUAAUACGUAGGGCGCAAGCGUUAUCCGGAAUUAUUGGGCGUAAAGAGCUCGUAGGCGGUUUGUCGCGUCUGCUGUGAAAUCCGGAGGCUCAACCUCCGGCCUGCAGUGGGUACGGGCAGACUAGAGUGCGGUAGGGGAGAUUGGAAUUCCUGGUGUAGCGGUGGAAUGCGCACAUAUCAGGAGGAACACCGAUGGCGAAGGCAGAUCUCUGGGCCGUAACUGACGCUGAGGAGCGAAAGGGUGGGG